rnacentral:lncRNA from 1 species
AUGCUCCAGUGUGUCACUUACUGGGGGGAGCCCAGCAAAUCCUCAGACACCCCCAGGACAGGGAAACCCUUCCUGAGCCACCAGCCCGGGGUCCUCACACCCAGGGGCUCCUGCACAGCCCAUCGUGUGCACCAGGACACGGCCCCCAGCAGGAGGGGACAAUCCCAAGGAGCCUUGGCCAGGCAGGAGCCUCAGGUGGGUCCUGGUGGGAUUGUUGUGCCCAGCUGGGCAAGGCCUGCUCCUGCUGAGAGCCAUGAGCAGCACUGUACUGUACUGUACUNAAUUUGUAUCUGUUUUUGUUCCUCAGGUUUUGGAAAACCAUGGGAGCAAAGGCAUUUCCCAGCCCUGCCCAAGAUGUGUUGCUGGAGAAUCUGGCCACUUCAGUCACAUCCUGGGCUCCUAGGACAGCAGAGGAGCAGCUCUGCCCUGGGCACCAUCCCUGCUCUGCACCCUGCCCAAAACCCUCUGCUCCUCAGGGAGCGCAGAAUUGUCCAAANGGAGGAGGGAGUGCAUGGAGGAGCACUGGGACAAGGUGCCAAUGUUCAGGGAACACACAAAUACCCUCUCCAGGGGUGUUCCCAUCACUGGGAUCACUUCUCCGUCUGUUUCCUGGGUUUAAUCACUCCUUCAGCACAAUUCCUUGGAUCAGCCCUAUGCCAAGUCCUGCUGGGGUGGAGGCUCAGAGAUGCCUUUGCCAGGGAUUGCAUGAUACUGGGCACACAGAGGUGUAAGACACAGAAUUCCUGCUCUUUGUGGGCACACAGAGGUGUGAGGUGCAGAAUUCCUGCUCCCAGGGGCACAGAGAGGUGUGACACACACAAUUCCUGCUCUUUGUGGGGCACUCAGAGGUGUGAGACACAGAAUUCCUGCUCUUUGUGGGGCUCACAGAGGUGUGACACAUAGAAUUCCUGCUCCCAGGGGCUCACAGAGAUAUGAGACACAGAAUUCCUGCACCCAGGGGCACACUGAGAGGUGUGAGGUGCAGAAUUCCUGCUUUUUGUGGGCACACAGAGGUGUGAGACGCAGAAUUCCUGCUCUUUGUGGGGCACAGAAAGGUGUGAGGUACAGAAUUCCUGCUCUUUGUGGGCACAGAGAGGUGUGAGACACAGAAUUCCUGCUCUUUGUGGGGCACAGAGAGGUGUGAGGUACAGAAUUCCUGCUUCCAGGAGCACACAAAGGUGUGAGGUGCAGAAUUCCUGCCAGGUACAGAAUUCCUGCACCCAGGGGCACACUGAGAGGUGUGAGGUGCAGAAUUCCUGCUCUUUGUGGGCACACAGAGGUGUGAGACACAGAAUUCCUGCUCCCAGGGGCUCACAGAGAUAUGAGGUACAGAAUUCCUGCUCCCAGGGGCAGAGAGGGGUGUGACACACACAAUUCCUGCUCUUUGUGGGGCACAGAAAGGUGUGAGGUACAGAAUUCCUGCUCCCAGGGGCUCAUAGAAAUAUGAGACACAGAAUUCCUGCUCCCAGAGGCACACAGAGGUGUGAGACACAGAAUUCCUGCACCCAGGGACACACUGAGAGGUGUGAGAGACAGAAUUCCUGCUCUUUGUGGGGCACACAGAGGUGUGAGACGCAGAAUUCCUGUUCUCCCAGCACGAGGGGCAGUGGGAACCCCAAACCUUGGGGCUCUGCCCUNAGCAAUGCUUGGCUCCUCCCUCUGGAUUAUAUCCGGGUAGCAAUGCUUGGCUCCUCCCUCUGGGCUCACAUCUCCCAAUGGGAUGCUGUCGUUCUUAUCAACCAUGCAGGGACAUUCAAUAGCUGUUAUCAGCAAUGUCCCCUCCCCAGGGAGGUGUGACUGUGGUCACUCAGAGAGAGAGACAAGGCAAACUGCCCACUGGGUCAUCUGCCAUACAGAUGGUGAUUGAAAACACCUUGCAUUGCAAUCUUCAACACAAAAUUUC